UAGUCCUACGGGGGGCAGCAGUGGGGGAUAUUGGACAAUGGGGGAAACCCUGAUCCAGCGACGCCGCGUGAGUGAAGAAGUAUUUCGGUAUGUAAAGCUCUAUCAGCAGGGAAGAAAGAAAUGACGGUACCUGAGUAAGAAGCCCCGGCUAACUACGUGCCAGCAGCCGCGGUAAUACGUAGGGGGCAAGCGUUAUCCGGAAUUACUGGGUGUAAAGGGAGCGUAGGUGGCAGGGCAAGUCAGAUGUGAAAACCCGGGGCUCAACUCCGGGAGUGCAUUUGAAACUGUCCAGCUAGAGUGCAGGG
rnacentral:rRNA from 1 species